rnacentral:rRNA from 1 species
UCAUAUGCUUGUCUCAAAGAUUAAGCCAUGCAUGUCUAAGUACAUACUACAAUAAAGUGAAACCGCGAAUGGCUCAUUAAAUCAGUUACGGUUCCUUAGAUGUUGACAAUCUACAUGGAUAACUGUGGUAAUUCUAGAGCUAAUACAUGCACGAAAACCUCGACUCUAGCGGGAAGAGGUGCAGUUAUUAGACCAAGACCAAUGGGCUUUCGGGCUCUGCUGGUGGUGACUCUGGAUAACUUUGGCUGACCGCAUGGCCUUCGAGCCGGCGGCAUGUCUUUCAAGUGUCUGCUCUAUCAACUUUCGAUGGCAGGUUAUGCGCCUACCAUGGUUGUAACGGGUAACGGGGAAUCAGGGUUCGAUUCCGGAGAGGGAGCCUGAGAAACGGCUACCACAUCCAAGGAAGGCAGCAGGCACGCAAAUUACCCACUCCCGGCACGGGGAGGUAGUGACGAAAAAUAACAAUACGGGACUCGAAUGAGKYCCCGUAAUUGGAAUGAGAACAAUYUAAAUCCUUUAACGAGGAUCAAUUGGAGGGCAAGUCUGGUGCCAGCCGCUGCGGUAAUUCCAGCUCCAAUAGCGUAUAUUAAAGUUGUUGCGGUUAAAAAGCUCGUAGUUGGAUCUCAGGCCUAGUGUCGAYGGUUCCACGGUYGUGGACUACUGUCGACCUGGUCAUAUYUGGUUCAGCCGUGUUGGGCGGCCUUUAACCGGGUCCACCAACCGCUGAACAYGUUUACUUUGAAUAAAUUAGAGUGCUCAAAGCAGGCGCUUGUUGCCUGAAUAAUCUUGCAUGGAAUAAUGGAAUAGGACCUCGGUUCUGUUCUGUUGGUCUUCGGAAGCCGAGGUAAUGAUUAAGAGGGACAGACGGGGGCAUUCGUAUUGCGACGCUAGAGGUGAAAUUCUUGGACCGUCGCACGACGAACUACUGCGAAAGCAUUUGCCAAGAAUGUUUUCAUUAAUCAAGAACGAAAGUUAGAGGUUCGAAGGCGAUCAGAUACCGCCCUAGUUCUAACCAUAAACGAUGCCAACCAGCAAUCAGUCUGAGUUCUUCAGUACGACUCGACUGGCGGCUUCGAGGAAACUCCAAGUUUUUGGGUUCCGGGAGAAGUAUGGUUGCAAAGCUGAAACUUAAAGGAAUUGACGGAAGGGCACCACCAGGAGUGGAGCCUGCGGCUUAAUUUGACUCAACACGGGAAAACUCACCCGGCCCGGACACUAGAAGGAUUGACAGAUUGAGAGCUCUUUCUUGAUUUAGUGGGUGGUGGUGCAUGGCCGUUCUUAGUUGGUGGAGCGAUUUGUCUGGUUAAUUCCGAUAACGAGCGAGACUCUAGCCUAUUAAAUAGUUUGGCGGCUCUUCGGCGCCGCCAAUCUUGACUUCUUAGAGGGAUAAACGGCGACUCAGCCGCAUGAAAGAGAGCAAUAACAGGUCUGUGAUGCCCUUAGAUGUCCGGGGCCGCACGCGCGCUACACUGAAGUGAUCAGCGUGUUCAAGGUCCUGCUCCGCCAGGAGUGGGUAACCCCUUGAAACUUCUUCGUGAUAGGGAUUGGGCAUUGCAAUUAUUGCCCAUGAACGAGGAAUUCCUAGUACGGACAAGUCAUCAGCUUGUCCGGAUUACGUCCCUGCCCUUUGUACACAUCGCCCGUCGUUGGAACCGAUUGAAUGCUUUAGUGAGGCCUUCGGACUGACUGGUGCAGCUGCUUUCGGGCGGCCGUGCCGCGUCGGAAAGAUGUCCAAACUUGAUCAUUUAGAGGAUCUA